AGAGUUUGAUCCUGGCUCAGAUUGAACGCUGGCGGCAUGCCUUACACAUGCAAGUCGAACGGUAACAGGUCUUCGGAUGCUGACGAGUGGCGAACGGGUGAGUAAUACAUCGGAACGUGCCUAGUAGUGGGGGAUAACUACUCGAAAGAGUAGCUAAUACCGCAUGAGAUCUACGGAUGAAAGCAGGGGAUCGCAAGACCUUGUGCUACUAGAGCGGCUGAUGGCAGAUUAGGUAGUUGGUGGGAUAAAAGCUUACCAAGCCGACGAUCUGUAGCUGGUCUGAGAGGACGAUCAGCCACACUGGGACUGAGACACGGCCCAGACUCCUACGGGAGGCAGCAGUGGGGAAUUUUGGACAAUGGGCGAAAGCCUGAUCCAGCAAUGCCGCGUGCAGGAUGAAGGCCUUCGGGUUGUAAACUGCUUUUGUACGGAACGAAAAAGCUUCUCCUAAUACGAGAGGCCCAUGACGGUACCGUAAGAAUAAGCACCGGCUAACUACGUGCCAGCAGCCGCGGUAAU
rnacentral:rRNA from 1 species